CCCUUUCCCUCCUUUGGCCGUCACCCUCCCCCCUCUUCCCUCUUCUCUCUUCCCCAAGUGCUGCAGCCGCCCCCUCUCCAUUCUCAAGUUUUUUUUGCAGCAGCCAUCUCCUCAACCCUAGCCGCCACCCCCCCAUCUCCUCUUCUCCAAGUGUCGUUCUUUCUCGUCGGAUCUUCUUCGUGUGGGUGCAAGUUUCUAUUGGAGAAUUGGUGGGAGGAAGGAAGGAGGAAAAAGGUGGAACUCAAGGUGGUGGACUUCCGGAUCAUACUUAGGGAUUUGCCCGAACUUCCGGUAAAAGCAAGUAAAUACAGUGGUGGUUGCUACCGUUUGGUUUGCAUCCUAUUCCCUGUCAUUGAGUAUGCAUAAGUUUUAAAUAUGUUAAUCAUUGAAUUCUAUGAUGAAGUUUAUUUGUUUGGAAGUAUUAAUUCUCAAUUGUCUAAUAUUGUGGAUGAUCAUAAUUUGGUAAUGAUAUAUGUGGUUGAUUCCCAUCUUGGAUGAAGUUGAAGUAUCUUUUUGAAUCACGUUAUAUGAAGUGUUGUAGGCAUGUCAUGCAUAUCGCAUCAUCCAUCUUGCAUUUUGAAGUUAUGUCGUGAUCUUAUGGUCCGACCGUACCGGUACAUUUUUAGCAUCGUACGUUGCCCGAGGAGGGGUACGAUGCGGCUUCAUAUCCUUAGAGGUAUGAAGGCAGAAGUCAUCCUUGCAUUUGCAGACAUUUGCACUCAUGAGGUAUAUAUGAAGUGUGACAUUACUAUGUUACUAUUGUGGUUUCUACCUGCAAGGUGUGGUAAUUAGGUGUGUUGUACGUUGUAUACGUGCUGCACCUUCGUAAUAAGAAGGUUGUGGAAUCAAGUGGUGGUAAAACAAUGUUCUUAUGUGGAUAAACAUUUUGAUAUUAUUUUACUUGCUGAGAUGUGUCAUCUCACUCUUGCAUUACUCAAUGUAGGUACUUGAUACAUGUUGGGAAUGAGGGGAGUAGCAGCAUGUCCAUGUUCACUCUCACAAUAACGCUACCCAGGCGCAGCCAUGAUUUAAUUAGAAACUUAUUGUCAAAGGAAGUUUGUUUUUUUAUAGUCGUGCGCACUGGUUAAUUCAGUUCAGGUCGUAUAUUUAUCUUCCCUUGCUAGUCGAUUAAUAAUACUUAUUAUGUUUUUGUCAUGAUAUAUGUUUAUACACUAUUGCCCCCUCAUUUAUGCAAUCUUGCAAAGGGAAUGCUGCCGAAAUUUUAUAUAUGGGCGUCAGAAGUGUAGUUCAGUAGCAUUCCGGGUUGUUUGUGGAAUCCGGGGUGUUACAGUUGGUAUCAGAGGUAUAGGCUUUAGAUUCUACGCAAUUUGAAGAUAAAUUUGACACACUUGCACAUAUAGGAAGGGUAUGGGUUCGUAUAUCUUUCAUACUAGUAUUUUAUUGUAUAGAUGACUAGAAUUCCCUUACUCCAAAUCCCUUUAUGGUUGGGUGGGAUAUGUCGUUAACGACUUAAUGCGUGAUAUGAUAUGUUACUUCUAUUUAAUAUGGGUUUCUUGAUGUGGUUGUUAUUGAGGUUAUUAUGCAAGUGAAGCUACUAAUGUACUUGUUUUGUAUACAUAUCGUCAUGAUGUUUUUUUUGAUGCGAUGUUUUUCAAAUCUCUGAGCUAUUACUAUCAUAUAGUUCUAUAUGCGUGACUGUGGAUGUUUUUUUUAAAUGGAUUUUUUUGGUUCUAGUACUUGUAGGACCAAUUGUUUAUUGAGUUUGUGUAUAGUGGGUCUAAUCUGGCUUGGUGUGGUGUGAAAACACUAUAUAAUGUAGUUUUAUCAUGUUGUUGAGUCUGGUUGAAUGUUGGGUUACAACCCAACUACUUAUCAAUGUAAUAUUUCCAUGGAUGCAAUGCUUUGUGCCUCACCCCUUUGGGCUAAUAUGGCUACUUGCCAACUUGAUCUUAGAGUACAAUAGGUUUGUCUCCAUAGAGCAAAGGCAAUGUUGUAUUGUCUAUGAAAUCUUGAGACUGGUAGAACUCAAGUGGAUUUGUAAGAUGACGUGUAUAGUUAAGUUCAACCAUGUUUACAUGAUAGGUUUUCUUAUUUUGUGCAACCUUAUCUUUAAUAAAAAAAUAGGGUGAUUUCAAGUGGAUUUUAUGUCUAUAUUAUAGUUGACGAGGCAUGCAUGUUUUCCUUCUAUGGUUUGUUUCUAUAGCCAAAAAGGUUAUGCAUAAUUUUUUAUUUGUUGGAGGCUAGUCAUAUGGACGAUAUGGACAACCCGUUUUAUAUUGUUUUUAGUCGCAGAUGAUAUAUGGUAGUUUUUUUAUGAUCAAUUCUUUAUGCAUGCUUGUUGAAUUAUUAUUUGGACCGUUUUAUCUUAAACAAAGACAAUGAUUAACUGGAAGUUGCUUAUGUUUGUUAGUCAUCUAUCUUUAUAAUGAUGUGGUUGUUGCAUCAAAUGGAGAUUUUUUUAUAUGAAUGAUGGUUUGAUAGAUCAUGUAUGUCUACUACUUUGAAUUCAUCCUAUGACAUCACGAGGUACAAAUUGUGCAAGUGCAAUAAUAGGAGGUAUUGUUGUAUGUGAGGUUAAUCAAGGUAGUUUGGUUAGGUGGAAUGUCUUAUUGAAGUCCAAUUACUCCUGUUGAGCAUAGUAUCGUAUUAUUAUUUUAGUGUUGGAAGUAAUAUUUAUGAAGCUUUUGCAUGAGUCUAUGUCAAACAGUACAUUAGUUUUUCUUGUUGUUAUCCCUCCAUUGCUUUAUGAGUAUUGCAAAUUUUAUCUCUUUUGAGAGGAGGAAAAGAUGUUAUAUGACAUGAGCACCAUUUGCUUCACGUCAACGGAAUAGUUUUGGAGAUUUCUAGUAGUUGGAUUCUAGUGUAAUAACAACCAUGUUUUAUAGUGCUUGAGACGGGUAUGUCAGGUGUUUCAUACAUUGCUGAUACAUGGAUGUUUGACCUUAGUGGCAUUAACAAACGAGGUUGUUGAAUUCAUUGAUUGUUGUGCUUAGUGUUCUAACCUAUUUGGUAGAGUGUUAUUUAAAGACUUUGUGGAGUUGCAUCCCAGUUUGGUAGUGGAAAAUCCUAGUGUUGAUUGCACCUACCAAUGACUUGGGUUUCAUUUUAUAUGGUUUUUUUAUUGCUGUUAAUGUGUUGUUUGGUUUCGGGAGGCAUUUUAAAUUAGUUGGAGGCUGAAUCAGGCUUCCCUUAUCAAGAAUGUUUUGUAGUAUGUUUCUUCAUCUUUCCAUAGGAUGCUUAAUCACCAUGUUUGGUCUAAACAUUUGAGAGUUAUGGGUUUCUUAAAACAUCCUUGUUGGUGUCUCUGGCAGAAUGAGUCUUUAAUUUUGUACGGAAGAAUAGACCUUGAAGAUGGUAUAAUUUGGUCUUUGUUGGAUUAUGAAAGUUUUAGUAAUUUCAUGAUCUUUCCAAAGAGUAUUGGUUUGUAAUUUUCAUUGUAUAUAAUUGGAGUUAGGCUGCUCUGAAGUUGUUGCACCGUUGUGUCUGAACUUUAGGUGUCGUUAUAACCACCAAUAAAUCGACCGUGUUUUGAUAGUUUCAUAGCCCAAAUUUGGGAAUUCUCUUUAAGCAAAACUUUAGUUCUUCUCAGUACCUUUUAAAUGGGUAUUUACUUGUAAUUGUCUGUUAAAUAGAUUGGGAGAGGUGGUUGUCCGGUUAUAAGUCGAAUCUCCAAUGUGCAGUAUCUCGGGCUGAGUUUAGUUGUAGGUCAUGCAGAGUUGAGGGCUAUAAAGAUAAAUUUGGGUGCAACUUUAUUGCAAAAGUCGUGGACAAUUUUCAAACUUUUCCAACGCGUGUUCGUAGUAGUUUUAAGUUGAGUAUAGGAGGAGUUAUAGGUUUUUGAAUUUUAGUUGUCCAUUGUUUCCAUCCUAUCAGUUUUGCAACAAAAGAGUUGCAUCAUUUUAUCGGUUUGAAAACCAAUUUCGAGACACUCAUUAUAAUAAAAGUUUUACAGAAUGUUAUAAUCUUUUCAAUGGGUUUAAAUUUGCAAAAUUUUGUUAAGCUGCAGGGAGUUAUGAUAUUUUGAAUUUAUGUGUCAUGUUUCGUCAGUUUCUGGUGGCAGAUCAUGUAUGUCGCCUUACAAGUCAAAUUAAAAAUGGUAGAUGAAAAAAAAUUGUUUAUCCUUUGAAUACAAAAGUUGUAGAUCAUGAAGUUUAGAUGAUUUUACAAUAUUUCAUUGUUACCAUUGCUUUUAUAGUGAGAGGUAGAAAAAAUGAACAUUUGUGCUAUUGAGUGUCAAUUUUCUACUUAGUGAUUUUUUUUCAUGGGAGUUUGGUUUAGUUGUGGUGAGCUCUUUCGCAAUCCAUGUUAAUUAAGUUGUAUGGUGGGAGGGAAUAGACGUAGUGGUUGGGAUGGUUAUCUUGUUUAUGUAUAUGUGGAGUGUGGGCUGAAACACAGAGAUAGCAAGGAACGUUUGAAUAGGCCAGUACGUAUUGUUGUGAAGCCACGUUUUCUUGUAUUGGCGUGAUUGCGUAAGUAUGAAAUAGUUACGUCAUGUGAAGUCUAGGUUGAGAUGCAAUUUGUCUGAGUUAUUCGAUAGAUAUAUAUGUAUAGUAUAAUUAAAAAAAAGAGAGUUCCUAUAUGGGAUGAUAUAAUGUAUAGAAUGUGCUUGGAUGAAUAUGUGGGCAGGCCUAACAUGCUUAAACAGAUUCCUGUUUGCAUGAUGUGAGAUUAGGCUUAAAUGGUUUAAAAAGUUAUCAUAUUGCUUCUAUACUUAUAUUUGUUCUAAGUAUCUCGUAAUGAAGAACCUAAAGUUAUUAGUCUUUCAAUGAACGCUUAAUCAUAGAAGAGUAAUGAACCUGAUAAAAUCUAUUGCUUGUUGUUGGGACUGCAUGACCAGUUUUAGUUAUGCAGCUAGUUCAAUGAAGUAAACCAUCUUUUCUGUAGAGAUGUUAUAUAUAAAAGUUGUAGCCAACUUCUUUAUCUUACUUGUGUAAAAAUUUCAUGACCAUAGGUCUAGUAGUUUGGUAGUUAUGAUUUCCUCAAGUCCAGUCUUGAAAUCUGUGCAGAUUCUGCACAGAUUUCGAAACUGACCUUGUUUGCCCAAUUGAAACUUCGAAUAACUUAUUAUAAAUUAUAAAGAAGUUGUAGUACUUUUCUUAAUCUUUUCAACAAAUUUUGGAUCACCCUUUUUGGAGAUCUAUAAGUUAAGUUACAGCUGUUUUAAGUGUGAUCUCUGAAUCUGUCCAAAUUUGGACAGCAGAGCCUUUCUCAUGUCUUUUGACCUUGUUAUGCAUUGAAUUAACUUGAUAUGUUUAUAAAUGAAUUAUAGACAAUUCUACUAGCUUUCUAAAAAGUCUGGGAGCACCUGAAUUGGAUGACUGAGACUCCAAUUAUGGAUUUUUGAAUUGAGUAGUUGAAUUCAGUCCAAAUCUGGACAGAAUUUACGUUUAGCAUUGUUUGACCUUUCUAAGUGUCAAAUCUUGCUGUGAAGAUAAUACCAAGGGUAUAGUGGACUUUAUAAGCUUUCCAUAAAGUCCUAGUUUAUUAUUUUUGGAUGCUUAUUUUAUGAGUUAUGAACAAAACAAUUAACCGCUGUGCUGCUAUCCAGAGAUAUGCAAGCAUUAAGUUGCUCUCUUGAAGUUGCUCUUGUUUGGCUAAGUUUGGUUUAGGCUAUAGGAACACUGUAUGCAGUGCAUUCAUAUAUACAUUCCUUGAAGUACUUGCAUAUGUCAAUGAUUGAUUUGGUGUCAGGAAAGCUUUGUCCGAGGUAUAUAGGACCGUCUACUAUCUUAUCCGAGUUGGCAGCUGGGCUUAGCACAUGCAAUUAUCGGAAUCUAUGAUCAGAGUACACCAUGUAUUCCAUGUCUUUAUGUGGAGGAAGUAUUUGUGGAAUCCAGACCAUCAAAUCGAGCUAGAGCCGAUUCCUGUGUAGCAAGACCAGACUCUAAAGUGUCGUCUGCUGCGUAUCUUAGAAUCCUAGGAGCUUGAGGAGCUGAUGCGGUAGAAGUACCCGAACUUUACUUUAUGUGUGAGUUUUGUUGGUUCAUUAAUCUUUCCUUUGUCGUUUCGAUAGAAGCAUCGGAAUUCGAGGUCGAAUUCUUUUUAAGGGGGUAGAGUGUGAUACCCAAUUUUCAAAAAGAAGAGAAAUUGAAGUUUACUCUUUUUUUCUUUGUUUUCUCUUGCGGGUCCCGUGCUAUGGGGGGUUUGGAACUUUAGGAGGUAAACGUCUGUAAAACAGUAAAAUUUAUGUUUGAUGUGUGCGCGGGGGUCGAGAGCUCUGGCGUAGGAAUGGUUUUGGGCCGUUGAUCACGAUCCGGCGGUGGGAAGCCCACUUCCCCCCCCCCAAACCCUAGCCGCCCCCUCUCUUAAGGCCCCUUGUGGGCAGCCGCCCCCCUUUCCCUCCUUUGGCCUUCACCCUCCCCCCCUCUUCCCUCUUCUCUCUUCCCCAAGUGUUGCAGCCGCCCCCCUCUCCAUUCUCAAGUUUUUUUUGCAGCAGCCAUCUCCUCAACCCUAGCCGCCACCCCCCAUCUCCUCUUCUCCAUGUGUCGUUCUUUCUCGUCGGAUCUUCUUCGUGUGGGUGCAAGUUUCUAUUGGAGAAUUGGUGGGAGGAAGGAAGGAGGAAAAAGGUGGAACUCAAGGUGGUGGACUUCCGGAUCAUACUUAGGGAUUUGCCCGAACUUCCGGUAAAGGCAAGUAAAUACAGUGGUGGUUGCUACCGUUUGGUUUGCAUCCUAUUCCCUGUCAUUGAGUAUGCAUAAGUUUUAAAUAUGUUAAUCAUUGAAUUCUAUGAUGAAGUUUAUUUGUUUGGAAGUAUUAAUUCUCAAUUGUCUAAUAUUAUGGAUGAUCAUAAUUUGGUAAUGAUAUAUGUGGUUGAUUCCCAUCUUGGAUGAAGUUGAAGUAUCUUUUUGAAUCACAUUAUAUGAAGUGUUGUAGGCAUGUCAUGCACAUCGCAUCAUCCAUCUUGUAUUUUGAAGUUAUGUCGUGAUCUUAUGGUCCGACCGUACCGAUACAUUUUUAGCAUCGUAGUUGCCCGAGGAGGGGUACGAUGCGGCUUCAUAUCCUUAGAGGUAUGAAGGCAGAAGUCAUCCUUGCAUUUGCAGACAUUUGCACUCAUGAGGUAUAUAUGAAGUGUGACAUUACUAUGUUACUAUUGUGGUUUCUACCUGCAAGGUGUGGUAAUUAGGUGUGUUGUACGUUGUAUACGUGCUGCACCUUCGUAAUAAGAAGGUUGUGGAAUCAAGUGGUGGUAAAACAAUGUUCUUAUGUGGAUAAACAGUUUGAUAUUAUUUUACUUGCUGAGAUGUGUCAUCUCACUCUUGCAUUACUCAAUGCAGGUACUUGAUACAUGUUGGGAAUGAGGGGAGUAGCAGCACGUCCACUUUCACUCUCACAAUAACGCUGCCCAGGCGCAGCCAUGAUUUAAUUAGAAACUUAUUGUCAAAGGAAGUUUGGUUUUUUAUAGUCGUGCGCACUGGUUAAUUCAGUUCAGGUCGUAUGUUUAUCUUCCCUUGCUAGUUGAUUAAUAAUACUUAGUAUGUUUUUGUCAUGAUAUAUGUUUAUACACUAUUGCCCCCUCAUUUAUGCAAUCUUGCAAAGGGAAUGCUGCCGAAA